GAACAGUCACUCCUUGUUCUUUCCACAACAUGCUGCAUCCUGCACACAGUCCCGUCCCUAGGAACCAGCCCCAAGUCCUGGCUGAGUAGCCUCUUGUCGAACAGUGUUUAAUAUAGCAGAGCAAGGAGAGGAGAAAGAAGAGACUGGCGCCCACAUCGGCCCUUCCCACGAUUCCUGCUACUGCCUCCGUGUGAAUGGGAUGUGAGGCGAACAUCAAGCCGGCCAUGAACGUCCAGUAUCCGUCCCCAAGGAGGAUCUUGGAGAAGCUCGUGAAGAGACCAGUGACUGCCGCAUGCAACAGGACGUUGACAAGAUGGUAGCUCCAGGGAUUCAACCCUCCGAUGGCAUGGUUCAGGCGAAAAGAAAGUGUGCAGAGGGGCCGCCGGGGUGUUGGUCAUGAACCUGCACAUCUAACUGCACCUGAAUGGAAGAAAAACUACUUAAAGGAGGAAAGUGAAAUCCUGGGUCGUCUACUAACACCAGAUUGUAAACCCUUCAAGGGCAGAGCUAAUGACUUCAUAAGCAAUUGCACUUAAUAAAUUGCCACCCUGAAGAUGCUGAAUGAAAAGAGACCUCAGGAAGUAACAAAAAAAAAGGCCUGUUCUCAGACAAUCAAGGGACAGGGAGAAGGUAAGUCUUGCUCAACAGUUCAUCUAAAGGAAUAUGCCUAGUGGAUCCCUCUACCUUCCCGCUGGAAGUUUUCCCCAGGUGCUGACCCAUAACCCAUUGAGAAGUUUUAUGAGCUACAUCUGCCACACCACCCUUCCCCAUUCCAACCAGGCACCCAACCAAAGAAAAGACAAAAAAAAAUUAAAAUUCUGAUUAAAUGUGGUCCACCUGCAUCUGAACUAAGCCCUAGAGCUACUGGCAAGUCCCUCUCAUAGGGCAUCUCUGAACGAGACAGCUCUGUCCUCACCUCAUGUCAAGACCUUGCCCAGACACUCUCCACUCUUAGUGGGAGAAAAUGAGAAGGAGGGGCAUUGGCUAAAUAUUUU